rnacentral:misc_RNA from 1 species
UUGAUUCGUUUGUGUUUUCUCGGAGAUGCCAACGCAGAUGAGACAGGGUAAGGGGCCGCCGGCGGGCGGAGCGCUGGGCUGGCCAGCACCCGCCGAGGCAACGAUGUAGGUAGGUUCACGGUGGUUACGGGAGGGUUAUGUCCUGUAAUGAUCCCUCCGCUGGUUCACCAACGGAGA